AUUGAACGCUGGCGGCAGGCCUAACACAUGCAAGUCGAGCGGAUGAAGGGAGCUUGCUCCUGGAUUCAGCGGCGGACGGGCGAGUAAGGCCUAGGAAUCUGCCUGGCAGUGGGGGAUAACGUCCGGAAACGGGCGCUAAUACCGCAUACGUCCUGAGGGAGAAAGUGGGGGAUCUUCGGACCUCACGCUAUCAGAUGAGCCUAGGUCGGAUUAGCUAGUUGGUGGGGUAAAGGCCUACCAAGGCGACGAUCCGUAACUGGUCUGAGAGGAUGAUCAGUCACACUGGAACUGAGACACGGUCCAGACUCCUACGGGAGGCAGCAGUGGGGAAUAUUGGACAAUGGGCGAAAGCCUGAUCCAGCCAUGCCGCGUGUGUGAAGAAGGUCUUCGGAUUGUAAAGCACUUUUAUUUGGGAAGAAAAGCAGUAGGUUAAUACCUUGCUGUUUUGACGUUACCAAAAGAAUAAGCACCGGCUAACUUCGUG
rnacentral:rRNA from 1 species